rnacentral:rRNA from 1 species
CCUACGGGAGGCAGCAGUGGGGAAUAUUGGACAAUGGGGGGAACCCUGAUCCAGCCAUGCCGCGUGUGUGAAGAAGGCCCUCGGGUUGUAAAGCACUUUCAGUGAGGAAGAACGCCUGGUGGUUAAUACCCAUCAGGAAAGACAUCACUCACAGAAGAAGCACCGGCUAACUCCGUGCCAGCAGCCGCGGUAAUACGGAGGGUGCGAGCGUUAAUCGGAAUUACUGGGCGUAAAGCGCGCGUAGGUGGCUUGAUAAGCCAGUUGUGAAAGCCCCGGGCUCAACCUGGGAACGGCAUCCGGAACUGUCAAGCUAGAGUGCAGGAGAGGAAGGUAGAAUUCCCGGUGUAGCGGUGAAAUGCGUAGAGAUCGGGAGGAAUACCAGUGGCGAAGGCGGCCUUCUGGACUGACACUGACACUGAGGUGCGAAAGCGUGGGUAGCAAACAGGAUUAGAUACCCCUGUAGUC